GAUGGGAGCUUGCUCCCUGAUGUUAGCGGCGGACGGGUGAGUAACACGUGGGUAACCUGCCUGUAAGACUGGGAUAACUCCGGGAAACCGGGGCUAAUACCGGAUGGUUGUUUGAACCGCAUGGUUCAGACAUAAAAGGUGGCUUCGGCUACCACUUACAGAUGGACCCGCGGCGCAUUAGCUAGUUGGUGAGGUAACGGCUCACCAAGGCGACGAUGCGUAGCCGACCUGAGAGGGUGAUCGGCCACACUGGGACUGAGACACGGCCCAGACUCCUACGGGAGGCAGCAGUAGGGAAUCUUCCGCAAUGGACGAAAGUCUGACGGAGCAACGCCGCGUGAGUGAUGAAGGUUUUCGGAUCGUAAAGCUCUGUUGUUAGGGAAGAACAAGUGCCGUUCAAAUAGGGCGGCACCUUGACGGUACCUAACCAGAAAGCCACGGCUAACUACGUGCCAGCAGCCGCGGUAAUACGUAGGUGGCAAGCGUUGUCCGGAAUUAUUGGGCGUAAAGGGCUCGCAGGCGGUUUCUUAAGUCUGAUGUGAAAGCCCCCGGCUCAACCGGGGAGGGUCAUUGGAAACUGGGGAACUUGAGUGCAGAAGAGGAGAGUGGAAUUCCACGUGUAGCGGUGAAAUGCGUAGAGAUGUGGAGGAACACCAGUGGCGAAGGCGACUCUCUGGUCUGUAACUGACGCUGAGGAGCGAAAGCGUGGGGAGCGAACAGGAUUAGAUA
rnacentral:rRNA from 1 species